GACGAACGCUGGCGGCAUGCCUAAUACAUGCAAGUCGAGCGAACAGAUGAAGUGCUUGCACUUCUGACGUUAGCGGCGAACGGGUGAGUAACACGUAAGGAAUCUACCUAUAAGCGGGGGAUAACAUUCGGAAACGGGUGCUAAUACCGCAUAAUAUCUUCUUCCGCAUGGAAGAAGAUUGAAAGACGGCUCUGCUGUCACUUAUAGAUGACCUUGCGGUGCAUUAGUUAGUUGGUGGGGUAACGGCCUACCAAGACGAUGAUGCAUAGCCGAACUGAGAGGGUGAUCGGCAACAUUGGGACUGAGACACGGCCCAAACUCCUACGGGAGGCAGCAGUAGGGAAUCUUCCACAAUGGGCGCAAGCCUGAUGGAGCAACGCCGCGUGCAGGAUGAAGGAUUUCGGUCUGUAAACUGCUUUGGAGCGGGAAGAAUGGCAUCGUGGUGAAUAAUCAUGGUGCGUGACGGUACCGCUAGAACAAGACACGGCUAACUUCGUGCCAGCCGCCGCAGUAA
rnacentral:rRNA from 1 species